UAUCCGGGCUUGAGAUGAAUGGCAGGCCAGAUCCCGAGAUUUUUACCUGCGAGAUCCUCCAAUUCAUAGGAUGAAGUGCCGUGUUUACUUUUCACCCGGCAGGGGAGAUAUUGACUACCAUAUUUGGCAUUAUAGUGAUUCGCAGCGUUAGACAGUUUCAUGUUUUUUCUAUAUAUUAAUUGCCCUGGUACGAAGGCUUUCGCGAAUCUGCGAUGUCGAAGAUUGUAGGCUGUAUUUGACAAGUUAUGUGCCUUGGAUAGAUUUUUCGCGACGAUGUCGUACAGUUUUGUGAACAUUUGCUGCUUUCUAGAAGCUCGCUGUUCAAUUGUAAGCUCUUCGUCGUGUCUGGCCAGGCGGUGAUCCGUUCCAACUUCUGACAACUCAUGGCCGUGUGUAAUAAAGAACGCACUGUGUUCAAAUAAAAAUAUUCUGGCAACUAAAACAGCUGUAAAUGUCUGGACUUGAAAAACCACUCCCGGCUCAAGAAAAAAUCAAGUGCUCCUCAAGGCCUAAAUAAAUUCCAUCAACUGAUUGGAAUGACCAGAUCAUCGUAGAUGUUAAUGGAUUAAAGCUGGUCCUGUCUAGAACUGGCAUCGGCUGCCAACAUUCAUCGGUGCAUUUGUUCCAGGAUUUGUGCUUAACUGAGAUUUCUAUACGAUGUUCAGCAUUGGUCGAGGCUGUUCCUCAGAGCGUAUAAACAAAGGAUAAAACAUUUAGGACAAGAUCCCGUCGGAAAGCCGAAGAAUGAUUUCCAUAACGAGAAGUUGACCGCCGUCAUCCCUAAACGCGAUCUAGAGGCACAUAAUUCAUAAACAAUGCAAACCAAAAAAUGUUACUUCUAAAAUGACAAUAAAAAUAAUCUAAU